rnacentral:tRNA from 1 species
GGCCUUGUAGUGAAGUUCAUGUUGAGUUGCAAGCUCAUCGACGUACGAUAAAUGUUGUACCAGGGCCU